rnacentral:rRNA from 1 species
UACGGGGGGGGCAAGCGUUUGUUCGGAAUUACUGGGCGUAAAGGGCUCGUAGGCGGCCAACUAAGUCAGACGUGAAAUCCCUCGGCUUAACCGGGGAACUGCGUCUGAUACUGGAUGGCUUGAAUCCGGGAGAGGGAUGCGGAAUUCCAGGUGUAGCGGUGAAAUGCGUAGAUAUCUGGAGGAACACCGAUGGCGAAGGCAGCUCGCUGGGACGGUACUGACGCUGAGGCGCGAAAGCGUGGGGAGCAAACAGGG